CCCCCCUUUCUUCCUCCCUUCUCCAACGUGAAGCCAAAACCAACCCCCCAAUCUCUUCUUCUCCUGGUCGCGUGAGGAUCCGCUGUUCAGCCUAGGCAUCCACAUCCGUGUGCCAUCAACUCCACGCCACUCGUCCACAUCCGUGUACCGUUGACUCCACACUAGUUGUCCAUGUCCGUGCGCCGUCGACUCCAUACCAGCCAUUCGCGUCUAUGCACCGUCAACUCCACGCCAGCCAUCUACGUCAGAUCCAACCGUACAACCUCUGGUCGUCCUCAUCUGUGUCGUGCAUCGUUAGUCUAUCCGCGUUGUCUGCUACCGCUACUCCAUUUGUGAUUUUGGCUUUUAGAGACUGGUGGCUCGUUGUCCAACAAAUUAGAGGUUGUUUCGGGAAGAGUUUGGUAGAUGUGCCUGGCUCAAGUUUCCUCGAAGAAAAAAUGGGAGGUUGAAUUGAUUGUGCUAGAUUUCAAGGUAAAAGUAAGGAUAAACCAACGAAUGACAGGAGGGAUCCAUGACCCGACCAUUUGGAUAUGUCAUCGUUUCCACACUUAGGUAGCGGUUAGUUCCCUCGCAACUGAAUCCACUGUAGCUUGCCACCCAAAGUUUGGUGACCUUAGGAAGAAGCUUAGGUUAAACUUGUUUUGAUGUACACACAUUUAGAAAGGAGUCGGGGACUUGUAAAACUUAUUUUCUUUUGGGACAGAUGUUUAUCUUGGUCAUCUUAUUUCAUUGGACAUAUGUUUGUUUUGGAUCUGUAAUUAAGACUUGCACUGCUUAAUUUUAUGGAUGUGUUUUCUGCCAAGUCGUUGCAUAUUCAGGUUUAAGCAGGUUCACUUAAGUUAGGCAGUAAAUGUUGGCACCUAGGUCGGUAACUACUACCAUCAUAUCCUCUUCCGAUUUUAGAGGGUAAACCAGGAGGGGGUGUGACAUUAUGCCUAUGUUACAUUGUUCCCUUGGGAUCACCACUUCUGCUUGUGACUGUGCCCUCCGGGGUCACUACUUACAAAAGCGUGCCUUCGAAUUUGCCCCUUAUGCUUAUGCAUGUGCCUAUGCCUAUGCCUACGAUGUGUAAUGUGCACCUAGCCUUGCUAGAGAGUCUAAUAGUUCACUUAGUGGGCCCAAUAGUGGGUCGCUUACUGAGUAUAUCUAUAUAGUCAUCCUUUUCCUUUCAUGUUUUUCAGGUAGUAAGGAUAGACCGGCGAAUGACAGGAGGAAUCUGUG